UCCGGCUCCAACCACCACCCUCGUACUCUCUCUCACCUUCAUCUCAGCUUUUCUCACCGCCACGCUGCCACGAUCUUCUCCGCCCUAUCGCUCCCCCGCCGCCGUCGUUCUCCGCCCUCCUCCACGCCGGCCGUCGCGAGCAGCAGAGAUUUUUGUGGCUGAAUUAAGGGGUGGGAGAUGUCGUUCGAUUUGCUGCUGAAGCCAUCGUGCAGUGGAUGCGGAUCCUCGACGGAGUUGUAUGGGAGCAAUUGCAAGCACAUGACAUUGUGCUUGACCUGUGGAAAAACUAUGGCUGAGAACAAGGGGAAAUGUUAUGAUUGUGGGGCUACUGUAACUCGCUUAAUAAGAGAAUACAAUGUUCGAGCAAGUGGGAGUAGCGACAAGAACUACUUCAUCGGUAGGUUCAUGAGUGGGCUGCCUAACUUUUCGAAGAAGAGAAAUGCUGAGAAUAAAUGGUCUCUUUACAAGGAUGGUCUACAAGGACGCCAACUUACGGAUGCCCUUCGGGAAAAGUACAAGAAUAGACCCUGGCUCUUGGAAGAUGAAACGGGCCAAUUUCAAUUCCAAGGUCAUCUGGAGGGCUCACAAUCAGCAACAUACUACUUGCUUGUAUUACAAGGGAAGGAAUUUACUGCCAUUCCUGCAGGUUCUUGGUACAACUUCAACAAAGUGGCACAGUAUAAGCAACUUACGUUGGAGGAGGCAGAAGAGAAAAUGAAGAAUCGAAAGAAGACAGCAGAUGGAUAUGAAAGAUGGAUGAUGAAAGCUGCAAGUAAUGGUCCUGCUGCAUUUGGUGAAGUUGAGAAGUUUGAUGAUAAAGAAAGUGUUGGUACUAGUGGUAGGGGACGAAGAAAAGCUGCUGGUGAUGAGAAUGAAGGCAAUGCCUCAGAUAGGGGAGAAGAAGAUGAAGAAGAAGAGGCACAAAGGAAGAACAGAUUGGGACUCAAUAAAAAGGGUGGCGGCGAUGAUGAUGAUGAGGAAGGUGCUAGGGGUGGUGACCAUGACUUGGAUGAUGAUGAUAUUGAGAAAGGAGAUGAUUGGGAGCACGAAGAGAUUUUUACUGAUGAUGAUGAAACUACUGCUCCUGACCGUGAAGAAAGGGAGGAUUUAGCCCCUGAAGUUCCUGCACCUCCAGAAAUCAAG
rnacentral:misc_RNA from 1 species